CUUGCUCUGUCCACAGGAAGUGAGCGAAUUCCAGAGGCUGUUCCCUACCUCACUUCCUGUGCCUCACACGUGCCAAUGGUGGCUCAAGCUUGACUUAGGACAGCCCAGGUGGGCAGUUAGUUAUUUCUGAUUUGUCAUUGACUAGCACAUGCCCCUGUAGUGUGGGUGUGCACAAUUUUGGGUGCUAGACCAAGCAAGAUGGAGAUUUUAAAAUUCACAUGUUGUAUCCACUGUUCCACUUGCCUGUACCCACAGCCAUAUUCUUAGAAACCAGAUUACUGGUGGUUCUCAAGGCUGUCAGGAGCAGAGGAGCCAUCCUUUCCUCAGGAAGACCUCUUCCCUGGCAGAGGCAGAGCACUCAGAAGCUAGAGCCAGAUGGCCCAAGGAUGCAGCCCCAGAGAGAGAGAGAGAGAGAGAGAGAGAGAGAGAGAGAGAGAGAGAAACGACACGAUUCUCUUUGAUCCUAGAGGAUAGAAUUAGGAGUAGGGUUGGUAAGACAUUUAAGCUCAAUGUGAAGGAAACGUUCUCAGAAGGGCUAUUCCCCAAAGCAGAAAGGAUUAUCCCAGGAGGUAGUGAGCAGAGCUUAUAGGAGGAAUUGACACAGAGGCUGUAUAACACCUUGUGAGUGAGCUUCAAAUGAAUUGCAGCAAAGAUCCAUAGUGACUCCAACUGACUUUCCAGAGCUCCCACUUCCCACAGGGGAGAAUUUCUGUGGCCAGAGAAGUGGACUGAGGUGCCAGAGCCUGGGAGGCAGACUUUUCUGAAGCUGGAACUCUUGAAAACAACACAGAGGAGAGAUGGAGAAAGAUAAUAGCCCUGUCAUUGAAGAGCCUAAGACUGACUGGAGACUGUCUAAGGGCCUGCAGGACCUCCUCACCUGCCCUGUCUGUGGAAGCUUUUAUAAUGAUCCUAUAACGGAUGAUUCUGGCAAAACCUUCUGCCGGGGCUGCCUCCCUCAGGGAUCCCAGCUUUCCUACCUCCAUACCAACUGGAAAAUGCAGAGCAUGGUACAAGUGGCCAAGCAGCUGAAGCCCUUCCUUGAGCAGCCCCAGGGCCUCCUAGAGGACUGGUGUACCAAACACCAGGAAUGCUUGAGCUUUCUCUGUCGAGAAGACAACGAGAAAAUCUGCCGGGUCUGCAGCUACUCCAGACUUCACCAGGGCCAUACCCUGACCCAACUGCAAGACCCCAAACUGGAGGAUAAUUCUGAAGAAGGCAAAAAGAAGAAGAAGAAAAGGAAGAAGGACUAGACCAUGGAAUUGUCUUCCACUGGGGCAGGAUACAGGGCCCCAUAUGACACUGUUUGCACCUUUACCCAAACUCUUAUGGACUCCUGCCUGGAAUCCCAGUCAGUCAGUCAGUCAGUCAUGGACCCUUUCUCAAGGACGAGAGGAUCCAGGACGGAAGAAAUUUCAGAUUGAAGCUUCUUCCCAGACUAGAUUGUCAAACUGAUUCAGCCCUGGCAGCUAGUGGCCUCUUGGGGCAGUACUUGAAGUUUUUUAUCUGAUGAUCAUCUAAUAAAAUGGCUCUUACCCACUGGGCA
rnacentral:lncRNA from 1 species